CAUGGUCCCUUGCGCACAAAGGCCAAAGCAGACUACCCCGUUUAAUAUCUGGCUUCAUCAAUGGACAUGCACGCUUUUGUGCAUGUGACAUCAUAUAUCGAUGGUUUCACAAAAUGGCAAAAUACAUUGUCUAGAGGAUAUUUGAUUUCCAAAAUUAAACAUGAAUCACGACUUUGUCAAGCCGGGCAGAAAUGUGCACUUUUUUUUAUGGACAUAGGGGCAUAAUAACAUUGCAGCUUCAAAGGUCAAUAAAGCAAAAAAAAAGAUGAAUGAUUAAGAGGAUGAUGAUAGUGAUAACCACUGCAAUUAAACAGUUUGAUUAAACGAGACAUCAUAACAACAAUGAUGUUUGGGAAAACACCCCUCACAUAAAAAAGUAAGAUAGUGCAGCGGUUGACAAGCGCCAGUGGGCAUUCCAACAUACUCCUGCCUGAACAUACCAGGGACUGUUGACAAUCUAGGACAUCAUCGAAAAUUCGCUCUCAAAUACUUUUACGCAUUGUUUCCCCCCUCUUUAAAGAGAAAACUGGGGCUUACAGCUAAUGAAGAUCCAGCAGCUUUGCAAGACGGUCUUCAACUAAGCAUUCUUCUGGUAAACUGUACUGGCGACUUGACUUGUCCUACACAGAACGGUAAUCUAAACCAGGAGAAUAACUAUCAUUCCCAGGGUAUAAACGAAAGACAUGACAGCAAACGACAAGGUCUGGAGCUCUUGUUCUACCUGGAAAACUCUCACUUUAAAGCGGGAAAUACAGUAUUUCACUUUCCGACAGAGGAGGAAAAACACAACCCCCCAAAAAACAUUAAAAGGAAUAAUGCGAAGGAAUGCGCGGUUGUUGACUGAGCCAUAAGGCACUGUAUGUAUGAACUGUUGUGUUGUGAAGGUCAGGUCACGGGCGAGUUUUUCCCCUGCAGAUCAUUAGGUGUAAUUGGGUAAGUUUAAGUGGAGUUCGGAUGCUGUACUUAAGUUAAUAGCAAUGACCUUCUUGCGGCUGUCCUGUCCAACGCUAUUCAUCUUAGGCAAGCGGAUUUGAAAACGAUCCGCCCCACUCCACCUCAGCCUUUCACAGAUACGAACCCAUCAGUAACGAUGUUCCGGAAAAUCCCAUCACCUUUUUUUUUCGGUUUGCUCUUCAAUAUUAUAUAAGCAAAAAUAGAUAACAUUUAAUCUGUAACCCCAGCGAGGAUCAAUCCGAACAAACCCACCCAUGGACGGUAACUGUAUCGAUUGAUUGAAUUGCCCAAAGUGUCCCCCUUCCCCCCAAAAAAGUAUUGUACUUCAUUGCAGCAUACACUGCAAGAUAAAAUAUUGAAAUAAA